GGCCUCCAUCCAGCCUUGUGGCAGCCUGGGAAGUGCUCCUGUUUCCAUCUCUCUAUAAGAAACUGAAGGCCAGAGAGGCUCAAGGACUUGCUCAGAUCUGAGUAGAGAAGAUGGGAUGUGAAUCCAGGACCGCCUGACUCUGCACCCCAGGGCUUUAAACCAUGUUUCUGAGCGGCCCCAGCAUGCUACCCACCCCGGCCCUGACAGGGAGGGCAGGGAACGUGUUGUGUUAACUGGGGAGUGGAAGGGAAGACCUGCUCCUCCAUUCAUCCUCAACUCCUGAGCUUGGCCCCAAGGAGACACUGCAUGUGUCUCCAAGUGUGGAUGAAGGACCCUGAGCAUCAGGAUGUCUAGGAAACGAGACAAAAAUGCACAUUCCCGGGCCUCACCUCGCCUCCACUGACCCUGAAUCUCUGGGUAGCUGAUACCUUCCCCAGGUAGCACAGAUGCCUGAAGAACAAGAGCUCUCCUAUGGACUCAUACCCUUUAGGAGCCCAAAUUGAGCAGGUCCUUGUGAGUCCACUGCACGCUGACCCUAUUCCAAGUUCAUGGCUCCAACAUGAGAAACACAGGCCUGACUCCCCCGCAGAGGAGAAGCAAAACAAUUUCUUAGAAGCAAAUGAAUCAAUUCACCAUUUCUUGAAGCUGCAGAGUUCUAUAGCUGACUUGGGGCAGGUGGGAAAAGAAGAACUCUUCUCCCAUUGGAAAAUGUAAGGCAUACAUAAAUUUAAUGAAGUACAAACUUUCUGUACAGAUGGAGCAUAAACAAAUGACGUCACUAGAUCCACCAGCCAUUCAUUCAAGCUGUGGACAGAGCCCAGCGGCCGCAGCACCGGACAACUGAGUGCCUGGGGAGGCUCGGCCCUGACAGCCCCUGCACAACCCAAAUCAGUUGGCAGGUCACAGAGGUGAGGCCACCAAGGGCUUCUGACCCUUGUGGCCCUCCCAGGGCUACCCUCCUUGAGUCCAUCCUUCUGGUCAACCAGCUUGGGAGCCUUAGUGAGUGGCAGGGUUGUUGCUAGAGAGAAAGCCCUGGAGUCUUCUCUGCUCUAAUGACUUAAAAUAAAGUCCAAACUCCUUACAAGGCUCCCUGGAUUCCACAGGAUUUGGCCCCUGCCUGCAUUUCCCACCUCUCUGCCGUCUUCUCUACCCCUGGG